AGGUUGACCAGCUGUCCUGGUUUGCCUGGGUCUGAGGAAUUUGCUGGGAUGCAAGACUUUGCGUGCCCAGACCAGGAGAAU
rnacentral:miRNA from 1 species